rnacentral:rRNA from 1 species
ACGAACGCUGGCGGCGCGCCUAACACAUGCAAGUCGAACGGAGCUGAGAGGAGCUUGCUUUUCUUAGCUUAGUGGCGAACGGGUGAGUAACGCGUGAGUAACCUACCCUGGAGUGGGGGACAACAGUUGGAAACGACUGCUAAUACCGCAUAAGCCCACGAUCCGGCAUCGGAUUGAGGGAAAAGGAUUUAUUCGCUUCAGGAUGGACUCGCGUCCAAUUAGCUAGUUGGUGAGGUAACGGCCCACCAAGGCGACGAUUGGUAGCCGGACUGAGAGGUUGAACGGCCACAUUGGGACUGAGACACGGCCCAGACUCCUACGGGAGGCAGCAGUGGGGGAUAUUGCACAAUGGGGGAAACCCUGAUGCAGCGACGCCGCGUGGAGGAAGAAGGUUUUCGGAUUGUAAACUCCUGUCGUUAGGGACGAUAAUGACGGUACCUAACAAGAAAGCACCGGCUAACUACGUGCCAGCAGCCGCGGUAAAACGUAGGGUGCAAGCGUUGUCCGGAAUUACUGGGUGUAAAGGGAGCGCAGGCGGACCGGCAAGUUGGAAGUGAAAACUAUGGGCUCAACCCAUAAAUUGCUUUCAAAACUGCUGGCCUUGAGUAGUGCAGAGGUAGGUGGAAUUCCCGGUGUAGCGGUGGAAUGCGUAGAUAUCGGGAGGAACACCAGUGGCGAAGGCGACCUACUGGGCACCAACUGACGCUGAGGCUCGAAAGCAUGGGUAGCAAACAGGAUUAGAUACCCUGGUAGUCCAUGCCGUAAACGAUGAUUACUAGGUGUUGGAGGAUUGACCCCUUCAGUGCCGCAGUUAACACAAUAAGUAAUCCACCUGGGGAGUACGACCGCAAGGUUGAAACUCAAAGGAAUUGACGGGGGCCCGCACAAGCGGAGGAACAUGUGGUUUAAUUCGAUGAUACGCGAGGAACCUUACCCGGGCUUGAAUUGCAACUGAAUGAUGUGGAGACAUGUCAGCCGCAAGGCAGUUGUGAAGGUGCUGCAUGGUUGUCGUCAGCUCGUGUCGUGAGAUGUUGGGUUAAGUCCCGCAACGAGCGCAACCCUUAUUGCCAGUUACUACGCAAGAGGACUCUGGCGAGACUGCCGUUGACAAAACGGAGGAAGGUGGGGAUGACGUCAAAUCAUCAUGCCCUUUAUGACCUGGGCUACACACGUACUACAAUGGCGUUUAACAAAGAGAAGCAAGACCGCGAGGUGGAGCAAAACUCAAAAACAACGUCUCAGUUCAGAUUGCAGGCUGCAACUCGCCUGCAUGAAGUCGGAAUUGCUAGUAAUCGCGGAUCAGCAUGCCGCGGUGAAUACGUUCCCGGGCCUUGUACACACCGCCCGUCACACCAUGAGAGCCGGGGGGACCCGAAGUCGGUAGUCUAACCGUAAGGAGGACGCCGCCGAAGGUAAAACUGGUGAUUGGGGUG